rnacentral:rRNA from 1 species
ACGCACAGCGAAAGGUGCUUGCACCUUUCAAGUGAGUGGCGAACGGGUGAGUAACACGUGGACAACCUGCCUCAAGGCUGGGGAUAACAUUUGGAAACAGAUGCUAAUACCGAAUAAAACUUAGUGUCGCAUGACACAAAGUUAAAAGGCGCUUCGGCGUCACCUAGAGAUGGAUCCGCGGUGCAUUAGUUAGUUGGUGGGGUAAAGGCCUACCAAGACAAUGAUGCAUAGCCGAGUUGAGAGACUGAUCGGCCACAUUGGGACUGAGACACGGCCCAAACUCCUACGGGAGGCUGCAGUAGGGAAUCUUCCACAAUGGGCGAAAGCCUGAUGGAGCAACGCCGCGUGUGUGAUGAAGGCUUUCGGGUCGUAAAGCACUGUUGUAUGGGAAGAACAGCUAGAAUAGGAAAUGAUUUUAGUUUGACGGUACCAUACCAGAAAGGGACGGCUAAAUACGUGCCAGCAGCCGCGGUAAUACGUAUGUCCCGAGCGUUAUCCGGAUUUAUUGGGCGUAAAGCGAGCGCAGACGGUUUAUUAAGUCUGAUGUGAAAGCCCGGAGCUCAACUCCGGAAUGGCAUUGGAAACUGGUUAACUUGAGUGCAGUAGAGGUAAGUGGAACUCCAUGUGUAGCGGUGGAAUGCGUAGAUAUAUGGAAGAACACCAGUG